AUGCACGCUAGCGGCAGGCCUAACACAUGCAAGUCGAGGGGGAAGUUGCUUUCGGGUGACUGAGACCGGCGUACGGGUGCGUAACGCGUAUACAAUCUGCCUUUCACUGGGGGAUAGCCCGAAGAAAUUUGGAUUAAUACCCCAUAGUAUAUAGGGACGGCAUCGUUUUUAUAUUAAAGCUUAGGUGGUGAAAGAUGAGUAUGCGUUCUAUUAGCUAGUUGGAGAGGUAGCGGCUCCCCAAGGCGAUGAUAGAUAGGGGUUCUGAGAGGGAUGUCCCCCACACUGGUACUGAGAUACGGACCAGACUCCUACGGGAGGCAGCAGUGAGGAAUAUUGGACAAUGGUCGGAAGACUGAUCCAGCCAUGCCGCGUGCAGGAUGAAGGUCUUAUGGAUUGUAAACUGCUUUUGUAAGGGAAGAAUAAGGGCUACGCGUAGUUUGAUGACGGUACCUUACGAAUAAGCAUCGGCUAACUCCGUG
rnacentral:rRNA from 1 species